AAAUACACUUAAAUUGAGACAUAGAAUCAUAGAAUAUCUAAUGUUGGAAGGGACCCAUAAGGAUCGUCAAGUCCAACUCCCUCCUCCUUGCAUGACUACCUAUAACUAAACCAUAU